rnacentral:ncRNA from 1 species
GGAUAGAGCAUUGCAAUUAUUGCUCUUCAACGAGGAAUCCCUAGUAAGCGCAAGUCAUCAGCUUGCGUUGAUUACGUCCCUGCCCUUUGUACACACCGCCCGUCGCUACUACCGAUUGAAUGGCUCAGUGAGGCUUCCGGACUGGCCCAGGGAGGUCGGCAACGACCACCCAGGGCCGGAAAGCUAUCCAAACUCGGUCAUUUAGAGGAAGUAAAAGUACGUAACAAGGUCUCCGUUGGUGAACCAGCGGAGGGAUCAUUA